rnacentral:rRNA from 1 species
UAAUAUAUCGGAACAUGCCCUGUAGCGGGGGAUAACGCGUCGAAAGAUGUGCUAAUACCGCAUACGCUCUACGGAGGAAAGCGGGGGUCGCAAGACCUCGCACUAUAGGAGUGGCCGAUAUCGGAUUAGCUAGUUGGCGGGGUAAAAGCCCACCAAGGCGACGAUCCGUAGCUGGUCUGAGAGGAUGAUCAGCCACACUGGAACUGAGACACGGUCCGG